CAAGGGAGGUCCAUGAGUCAGCAAAAUGGCCAGCAGUAUUCUGAAAGCGCCUUUGUUCUUAAAAGCAAACAUUUGGACACAGUUUUAUAAUGAAAAAUAUAUAAUAUCCCUUUAUAAUAUUUUGCUGAUUUUGUCGAGUCACUGGCAGUGAGCACCCUAGUGUCGAUCUUCAGCUGUGACUUUGUGAAAGACRAGGYACAUUGUGGAAAAGUCAUUCAAAGAAGAAAACCUGAGUAACUAGAAAAAACCCAUGCAUGGAGACAACAUGAAAAGUCCACACAGAAAGCCCCAGGCCAUGAGGCGAUCCUGCAACCUUCUCUCUGUGAAGUGACAGUUCUAACCAUUGAGUGGCCAUGCUGCCUUAUAACAAACAUUAGUUUGGAAAAGGUUGUCUAGCAGAGGAAAGCCAAUAGCUUGAACUGAAACGUCACUCAUUCAGUCCUCRUCCUGAGGGCAGUAGAUGACAGCAGAGAAAAUAAUUAUUUCUUUAACAGGAAGGAACCUGCAGCAGGACCAGGCUCGGGAUGAACGGCCAUCUGCCUCAACCAGCUGGUUGUUAAUGUUAU